rnacentral:lncRNA from 1 species
CCGCCCUAUUCUUCGAUGUCAUCGCGCUCUCCUCCGCCUCCACCGCGCGGCUCAGAAUGGACGUAUAAAAAUUACGAGAAAGCAGAGGUGAAGGAGGAGUCAGAAAGAAAGAGAAAGAAAAAUAGUGUAAAUUUUACCCAAAGAGUACAAUUUUUGCCUAAAAAGUGUAACUCUCAUUUCAAAAAGUAUAAUUUUUAGCUCAAAGAGUGCCACUUUCAUAUAAAAUAGUGUAAAUUUUUUUAAAAAAUAAUAUAACUUUAUUUUAACAGUGCAAUUUUAUCUUCUUCCUUCUU